rnacentral:rRNA from 1 species
GACGAACGCUGGCGGCGUGCUUAACACAUGCAAGUCGAACGGAAAGGCCCUGCUUUUGUGGGGUGCUCGAGUGGCGAACGGGUGAGUAACACGUGAGUAACCUGCCCUUGACUUUGGGAUAACUUCAGGAAACUGGGGCUAAUACCGGAUAGGAGCUCCUGCUGCAUGGUGGGGGUUGGAAAGUUUCGGCGGUUGGGGAUGGACUCGCGGCUUAUCAGCUUGUUGGUGGGGUAGUGGCUUACCAAGGCUUUGACGGGUAGCCGGCCUGAGAGGGUGACCGGCCACAUUGGGACUGAGAUACGGCCCAGACUCCUACGGGGGGCAGCAGUGGGGAAUAUUGCACAAUGGGCGGAAGCCUGAUGCAGCAACGCCGCGUGCGGGAUGACGGCCUUCGGGUUGUAAACCGCUUUAGCCUGUGACGAAGCGUGAGUGACGGUAAUGGGUAAAGAAGCACCGGCUAACUACGUG